CACCAAGCCGACAUUGAAAGAACAUCAAUUUCUAGUGUCCCCAAUUCCAUGUCCCCAGCAUGCACAGGGCUGCCCCACGUCUCAGCAGCCCCCUCCUGCUCGCCCCGCAAACCUGACUCAGCGGCAGCUGUGGCUUUUGUUCUCCACCGUGUUUGCAAUGACUGCAGGCCUCCUACCCCGAGUCAACGAUGGGCACGGCGUGACGCCCCCUUACAGCCCAGCAUGCGCUCACGUAGGAAAAGGAAUUCUAACAGGCUUGCUCGAGUCUCACGAGCCUUGCAGUUUGCACCAAGAAGUUGCGUGUGACAACACUUCCAUCUGGCAGACGGCCUCACUGGAAUGCACUUGGAAGUCUGGAGAACGGAGACAUCAACAGAAGCACAAUUAAUCAGCGCAAUUGUUUUCCCUGCUGUGAACAGGACAUUCCUCUGGAUUUUUGAGGGCAACGCACACGGNNNNNNNNNNNNNNNNNNNNNNNNNCGGCGGGCACGCGUGGACUGCUCUUACUGGUCUUCCCGCUCACUCUCUGUCUCAGGCCAGUGCAGCAAAGCCCUCAGCCCUCCUUGUGCCAGUGACGGUGAGAGUGCUGGGUCCCGUGAACAGCCUGAAGUUACCAGCUCUGACUGGAAGCUCUCUGGACUCUGGCUUUGGGAGCAGAGAUUUCUGUCUGUUCAGACCCAAGUUGACGUAGCAAACAUUGGGCCCCUGCUGCAUACAAGGUCUGGGCUACAAGGGAGUGAGUGAUGAAGGAGAUAUAGUCCCUGCUUCUAGAACCUGGACAACACCCUUCUGCUCCUAUCAUGGCUCAGGUGAGCUAAGGUUUCUCCUUAAAUUCUGCAAUCUUUCCUAGCCCUCCCAUGGCUCUUUAGGGUAAAAUCCGAGCUCCCAGCCAGCAUCCAAGGCCUGCCCCGCUGCCUAUUUGGGCCUCACCUCCCCCAAAUACUCUCGCUCAGAGAGCUACUCGCUCCCAAGUCUCCAGGCCUUUGCUCCCCUUGCUCCCCUUUCUGAAACACCAUUUCUUCUCUCCUUCCCCAGUAGGAUAUUAACUAACCUCUAGGGACUCAGUUCAGGCAUUGCCUCCUCUGGGAAGCCCACCCUGCUUUCUCAGUUUGGGGAGCCCCCAAACACCCGCCAUGGCAUACCUUGAAUCAUCAUAAGGUAAUGAGACAUUUGCCCCUCUCUCUCCUCCCAUCCUCAGCCCCUUGAGGCCACAGUGGAGCUUCUUUAUGUCUUUAUCCCCGAGACCAAGCUGGGCCUUGCUGAAAGCAGGUUUCCAGAGGGUAUUUCCAGGUAAGUGAGCCAAAGAGCUCAGGGUCAGCGACCUGCAGGUGAUCUGUGGAGGUGGUAGAAUAGAAGAGAGGUAUUUCGUCUGUUCUAGGGGGUCCAUAAAGUUGGAAAUACAUGUACCUCAGUGGUUAUGAUGUAAUGCUUUCAAAUGGAACGGCACUUCAGAUUCGGGUAUGUCAGCCAGCAAAGAGGGAGAAAACUCCCCAUUCAAAUGCUGCCCUCCGGGGCAGGUGCUGAGGUAAGAGGCCCAGCUCUGGGCUGUCUAGAGCCCUGGAGGGGUUUGUGGCCAGGGGGCAGCAAUGCGGGACUGUUUCAGGGGGAGGCAGCCUCCCUUGUAAGGGGCCCAAUUUUGGUUUGCCUCCCUCAUGUUGAGGACAGAAAGCCAAUGCAGGGAUCGGGGUCAGGGCAUUGCUCCUCCUGAAGGACCAGGUUGAGGGUCCCGACCUCAGAGAGGAAGACUAUAAGGGGCAGGGGGCAGCGCCUCUUGUCAGCUGUUCCUGAAAGGAGAACGGAGAGGUGGGGAGCAAAUGGGAAGCACGGCAAGGCUUAGGCUUGUGUGGGCUGUAGCUUCGUGGCUGCUCCAGAGCUCGGCCCCCAGUCCGGCCUGUGACCUGAGGGCCCCGGGGCCUACUUCCGGGGACACAGGCAGAGCUGAGCCAAUGGUUGGGAGACAGUGGUUCUUCCCUAGGUUCAACGGACUCAGGAGGGGGCUGGUGGCCAGGAGUGGCACACUCCGUGGACUGAGGGGCAGGUGGCUAAGUAAAAUAGAAGUUAAAUUUGAAUUUCAGAUAAAUGAAUAAUUUUUUUUUAGUUUAAGUAUGUCCCAAAUAUUGCAUGGAACGUCCUUAGACUAAAAAAGUAUUUGUUCAUUUGAAAUUCAAAUUUAGCUGCACGUCCUGUAUUUUUAUUUGCCAUAUAGGGCCAUUCUAUUUAGGGGUCAGCCUGAUCUGAGGGCCAGCAUGGCCCACAGACCCCAUAACAAUAAAACAUUUCGAAAACAAACA
rnacentral:lncRNA from 1 species